ensembl:misc_RNA
CACCCAGAGGCAGCUGUCAACAUCUGGGCCUGCAAUGGAGGCCAGACAUCGGGGUGGGAGCUUGGCCUAUGAUGACUCAGCUCUCUCAGGA